CCCUUAGACGUUCUGGGCCGCACGCGCGCUACACUGACCAGUGCAACAAGCAUCCGUCCUUGGCCGACAGGCUCGGGCAAUCUUUGAACGCUGGUCGUGAUGGGGAUAGACUUUUGCAAUUUUUGGUCUUCAACGAGGAAUUCCUAGUAAACGCAAGUCAUCAACUUGCAUUGAUUACGUCCCUGCCCUUUGUACACACCGCCCGUCGCACCUACCGAUUGAAUGGUCCGGUGAAGCCUCCGGAUUGGCGCGCACCUCGGUGCCGCCGAGAAGUUGGCUAAACCUUACCAUUUAGAGGAAGGUGAAGUCGUAGCA
rnacentral:rRNA from 1 species